GAUGAAGAACGUAGCGAAAUGCGAUAAGUAAUGUGAAUUGCAGAAUUCCGUGAAUCAUCGAAUCUUUGAACGCAUAUUGCGCCCUCUGGUAUUCCGGAGGGCAUGCCUGUCCGAGCGUCAUUUCAACCAUCAAGCUCCCGGGCUUGCGUUGGGGCCCUGCGGCUGCCGCAGGCCCCUAAAACCAGUGGCGGGCUCGCUGUCACACCGAGCGCAGUAGCAUUUCUUCGCUCUGGGCGCGGCGGCGGGCGCUUGCCGUAAAACAUACCACUUUGUAAAGGUUGACCUCGGAUCAGGUAGGAAUACCCGCUGAACUUAAGCAUAUCAAUAAGCGGAGGA
rnacentral:misc_RNA from 1 species